ACAAGACGAGAAGACCCUUUGGAGCUUAAGACAAAAGGCCAACCGUGUUAAAGACCCAAAUAAAAUGAAGUCAAACAAAACGGCAACUGACCAGCGUCUUCGGUUGGGGCGACCACGG
rnacentral:rRNA from 1 species